rnacentral:lncRNA from 1 species
ACAUGCAUGGAGGCAAAAUGUUUCUACAUACUAGAUUAAGACAGUGGAGAAGUUAAAGAAAAUAAGAUUAUUAAAAGUCACAAGAAUAAAUGAUAAGGGAUGAUCGACCAAUUAAUUGACAAGAAAAGAUACAACUAAUGUUAUUAUUUUUUGAGGGUGCGCUUGGCUACGUAAAAAGCACAAGAGGUUCUGCAUGUCUUGGAUUUCAAAGAAAAAAUGAAGCACCACAAUGACAUCCAUCGUAUGAAAAUUGUUAUUUUUUAAGAAGUCACCACAAAAACUCUAAACUAUAAAAAUAAAAAGUAGGGGUGAUAAGAGAUGAGACUACAGAUUAAUUUACAGAUCAAAUCUAAAAUUGUUUAAGUGACAAUAG